rnacentral:tRNA from 1 species
GCAGGGGUCGCCGAGCAUGGUCAAAGGCGUAGGCUUCAGGAGCCUAUCCUGCAGAGGUUCGUGGGUUCAAAUCCCACCCCCUGCACCA